AGCGGCGGAUGGGUGAGUAACACGUGGGGAACCUGCCCCUAAGUCUGGGAUACCAUUUGGAAACAGGUGCUAAUACCGGAUAAUAAAGCAGAUCGCAUGAUCAGCUUUUGAAAGGCGGCGUAAGCUGUCGCUAAGGGAUGGCCCCGCGGUGCAUUAGCUAGUUGGUAAGGUAACGGCUUACCAAGGCGACGAUGCAUAGCCGAGUUGAGAGACUGAUCGGCCACAUUGGGACUGAGACACGGCCCAAACUCCUACGGGAGGCAGCAGUAGGGAAUCUUCCACAAUGGACGCAAGUCUGACGGAGCAACGCCGCGUGAGUGAAGAAGGUUUUCGGAUCGUAAAGCUCUGUUGUUGGUGAAGAAGGAUAGAGGUAGUAACUGGCCUUUAUUUGACGGCAAUCAACCAGAAAGUCACGGCUAACUACGUGCCAGCAGCCGCGGUAAUACGUAGGUGGCAAGCGUUGUCCGGAUUUAUUGGGCGUAAAGCGAGCGCAGGCGGAAAAAUAAGUCUAAUGUGAAAGCCCUCGGCUUAACCGAGGAACUGCAUCGGAAACUGUUUUUCUUGAGUGCAGAAGAGGAGAGUGGAACUCCAUGUGUAGCGGUGGAAUGCGUAGAUAUAUGGAAGAACACCAGUGGCGAAGGCGGCUCUCUGGUCUGCAACUGACGCUGAGGCUCGAAAGCAUGGGUAGCGAACAGGAUUAGAUACCCUGGUAGUCCAUGCCGUAAACGAUGAGUGCUAAGUGU
rnacentral:rRNA from 1 species